GUCAUAAAGCCUAGCAGUAUUUUCCACUCUUCAGUCCACUCUUUAUGACAGCAGACUGUGGAGCCCCAGUUAGAGACAGAUAUGAUACCUGCAGUGGUACUGAUGACCCUGUUGUGGAGCACAGAUCUCCAGGCUCAAAGCGUCAGUCCACCAGAUCUCCAGGCUCAAAGCGUCAGUCCACCAG